GAUGAAGAACGUAGCAAAAUGCGAUAAGUAAUGUGAAUUGCAGAAUUCAGUGAAUCAUCGAAUCUUUGAACGCACAUUGCGCCCGCCAGUAUUCUGGCGGGCAUGCCUGUUCGAGCGUCAUUUCAAUCCUCAAGCACAGCUUGGUGUUGGGACUCGCGUUAAUUCGCGUUCCCCAAAUUGAUUGGCGGUCACGUCGAGCUUCCAUAGCGUAGUAGUAAAACCCUCGUUACUGGUAAUCGUCGCGGCCACGCCGUUAAACCCCAACUUCUGAAUGUUGACCUCGGAUCAGGUAGGAAUACCCGCUGAACUUAAGCAUAUCAAUAAGCGGAGGA
rnacentral:misc_RNA from 1 species